UUGGGGGGUUCCCUUUUAUCAUGCAACUCGAACGGCAGCACGGGUGCUUGCACCUGGUGGCGAGUGGCGAACGGGUGAGUAAUACAUCGGAACAUGUCCUGUAGUGGGGGAUAGCCCGGCGAAAGCCGGAUUAAUACCGCAUACGAUCUACGGAUGAAAGCGGGGGAUCUUCGGACCUCGCGCUAUAGGGUUGGCCGAUGGCUGAUUAGCUAGUUGGUGGGGUAAAGGCCUACCAAGGCGACGAUCAGUAGCUGGUCUGAGAGGACGACCAGCCACACUGGGACUGAGACACGGCCCAGACUCCUACGGGAGGCAGCAGUGGGGAAUUUUGGACAAUGGGCGAAAGCCUGAUCCAGCAAUGCCGCGUGUGUGAAGAAGGCCUUCGGGUUGUAAAGCACUUUUGUCCGGAAAGAAAUCCUUGGCUCUAAUACAGUCGGGGGAUGACGGUACCGGAAGAAUAAGCACCGGCUAACUACGUGCCAGACCGCG
rnacentral:rRNA from 1 species